rnacentral:rRNA from 1 species
UGGGGGAUAUUGCACAAUGGGCGAAAGCCUGAUGCAGCGACGCCGCGUGGGGGAUGAAGGCCUUCGGGUUGUAAACUUCUUUUGCUCUGAACAAGGCAUGCCUUUGGGGUGUGUUGAGUGUAGGUGUUGAUUAGCGCCGGCUAACUACGUGCCAGCAGCCGCGGUAAUACGUAGGGCGCGAGCGUUGUCCGGAAUUAUUGGGCGUAAAGGGCUUGUAGGUGGCUGGUUGCGUCUGUCGUGAAAGCUCAUGGCUUAACUGUGGGUUUGCGGUGGGUACGGGCUGGCUUGAGUGCAGUAGGGGAGGAUGGAAUUCCUGGUGUAGCGGUGGAAUGCGCAGAUAUCAGGAGGAAUACCGGUGGCGAAGGCGGGUCUCUGGGCUGUUACUGACGCUGAGGAGCGAAAGCGUGGGGAGCGAACAGG